GGAGGUGGCACCCGGCAGCUCUGCAGGGGUGGAGGCACCAGACUCUGAAGGACAGAGAGAAGAGUGGGACAGAAGAGGACUACCUGAGCGCCCUCACCAGGAGCAGGUAGACACCCAGAUGGCCUCCCACUCUCCACUCCAUCAGCAGACAGGACAAGUUUGAACCAGAUGUGCCUGAACCCCACAACUCCAGGCAUAUCCAGAGUGGGGCUGGGGGAAGCAACUCAGCAGGAGGAAAUCGGGUAGACUCUAUGUACUUAAGACGUGACCUGCACCCCACCUCCACCCCUCCAGGCUCUCUCCCUUCUCUCAGCACCUCCAAGCAGGAAAAGAUCUGCAGACCUGACAUUUAGAAGUUCCCUCCAUCAUGCUGCAGUGACAGUCACCCAGUGAUAAGCUCUCCCACACACACAGAGCUUCCAAAUAUCUGUUGCUAACUGACAUCUGAAAAACGAACAGAGAUCCCACUAGAACAAAGAAAGCCCUAACGUGAAAGACAAAGACACGACCAUCCUAACCAAUCCAACAAGCAGAUUAAAAAAGCAGAGAAAACAAAGUAUGGAUCAGAAGAAGACUUUUUCAAAAUCUAUAAUGUCUCAGAACAUACAUUUUAAUGAACACCGGCUCAGGAGUGUGUGUGUGUGUGUGUGUGUGUGUGUAAAUAUUUAGAGAACAGAAAUGAAAUUUUUUUAAUGUGAUGAGAAAAAUAAAACUCUCAAAAGUGGAAAAUAAGUCUAAGAAAGCAAAGCAAAGAAUUUAUCAGAGAAAGAAGAACAAAUAGACAAAGAAGUGGAACAUAGGAGAGGAAAGGAAAGAAAAUUAGAGAAUUAUUCCAGGAGGCCCAUCAUCCCAAUAAUAGGAGUUUCAAAAAAAGAAAAAGAAGAAAAUGUUUCCAAACUAAAGUACAGGAAUCUCACAUAAAGAGGGCUCAGCAAGUGCUUAGAGUGAUGGCUAGGAGAAUAGCCAUUGCAAGCCCAGCAUGGAAGGAUGCCAGGUUGGGGAUGGGGUGGUGAUGCCAGGACAGGGAUGGGGAGGUGACUCUAGGAUGGAGCUGGAGAGGUGAUCCUAAAUGCUUUCAGGUGGAGUGCAAGAAGAUGCUAAAUCAGAUAUCAGAUGCGUCAGACUUCUAGACAACAGAAAGGGAAGCUUGAAGGCAAGAGAACAAUGCUGUCAACAUUUUAAGGAAAGUGAUUUUCAAUUUAGAACUUUCAAUUUUGUCCUUCAAAUCUCAACUUCCUGUUCAUAUUUCCAUUUUUCUAUCUGUUGUGCUAUAUUCUGCAUAAGUUACCUUUAAAUGGGAACUGCUCAUUCUAGUUGCUGAGUUGAGCUAACUUUGUUAUAAUGAGGUUAUAUCUAUUCUAUAGUUAAGAUAUCCACUGAGAUUUUUAUUUCACUCACUAUACUUUCCAUUUCCCAAUGUUCUACUCCAUUCUUUCUGAAUCUGCCUUGUUUUCUUGGUAGCAUCUUGUGCUCAUUUCCUUGUUUUAUAUCUGUAAUCAUUGUAAACAUACCUGUUAAAAGCCAUCAUCUGAUAAUCCUAUUACCUAGGGUUCUUAGGGAUCCAAUUCCUCUGAUUGUUGGGUCUGCUGGUGGAUUGUUUCCUUGUGUGAUUUAUAAUUUUGGAUUGUGAGUUCAUUUUCAGUAGGACUCUAUCUGUGAGAAUCUUUUGUGCUUGAGCUGAAGCUGUCUUUACUGAGAGAUUUUGUGUUUGCAAGACUCUCAGUUGUCUUGCCAGCCUGUGAUCAUUUUUGUGCUAAUUCUGUGGCUCUGUGGGUCCUGGACUAUGCAGGGAGUAUAAAUUCAAAUCCAAAACCUGAACAAGACAGACCCAUCAUUACAAGCUCUUAAGAGGCAUUCCCUUCUCCUCUCCUCUCUUUCUCUUCUCUUCUCUUUUUUUUUUUCUCCUGGCAUGGACUGAGAUAGAUAUGCUUUCAGGUCAUCUUCCUCUGCUGGUGGGUAAAUAUUUCCUCUCAGGGUGGCCCUUCAAGGAUUUUGCUUAUAAUAUCCUGCCUCACUUGGGCCCCUGAGCUUAUCUUCUGUCUCUGGAGUGUUCAACUCCAGGUCCCUGGGUGCCAAUAUUAAUGCAAUCCCCAAGUCAAUCUAAGCCCAGCCGAUGUUCACUAUUCAGGCUUUAUUUCCCUCUUCUUUUGGCCCCUGGAGAUUUUGUCUCCUUUCUUCUUGUAUGUUUAGCUAGUUAUUUAAAAGGAGUCUCACAUUUUAUCCAACACUUCUAGCUGUACGGUAGGAAUGUUUUCAUGUUUAGUCCAUGCAACUGGCAGCAAAGAAUGCCUCCUCCAAGCUAGAACUCAACAUCCAGCCAAAUGAGCAGGCCUGGGUUGGGUGGAAUCACAUUGAAUCAUAAUGAUGUACAAACAGUGGAUUUUGAUUUCAUUGUAAAUGAUGACAUAACUCUAUAGGGUGGCUGUGGGUGUGGCUGGGGCUGUUAUGAAAGCCCUAAAUCUUCAUCUUCCCUAGUUGGGAAUAAAUACAUAAAAUCUUAAACAAAAAUUCAAACAAACAUCAGUGUAAGCAUGUGAUGGGGAGAAUACUGGAAGAAAGUGCUGCAAGACUGGAGUGUGACUGCCUGCGGUGUGAGACCUGGAUUUAGGGGAUGAGCAGGUGGGAGAGCAGGGCUUCAUGCGUUGUGUUUUCUUGCCCGGAGUUUUUCACUUUUUGCACUGUGUGCAUUUACUGAUUUGGUGAGACACAGACAAUAAAAACGGAAGCUUGAAGGCAAGAGAACAAUGCUGUCAACAUUCUAAGGAAAGUGAUUUUCAAUCUAGAACUCCUUUUAAUUUUGUCCGUCAAAUCUCAACUUCCUGUUCAUGUAUCCAUCUUCUAUCUCUUUGUGGUAUAUUCAGC
rnacentral:lncRNA from 1 species